rnacentral:misc_RNA from 1 species
CUUCUCCUCCGCGUUCAAGGGUCCUGGUUGGUUCUUCCUAUAAAUAUUACUCCUUUUUUGCCCAAACACACGCAAAUCCCAAAUUCCUAUCUUUGAGUUCUGAGGAAUCAACUUGUUUCAACUUUUCAAUACCAAUCAUGAAUUCCAUCUUUAGCUCCUUCGAUGCACUCUGCGCUGAAUUCUUGGGCCAAACUAUUAGGUCCUCUUUUGCUUCUGCAUCU